rnacentral:rRNA from 1 species
ACUUAGAGUUUGAUCAUGGCUCAGAACGAACGCUGGCGGCGCGCCUAACACAUGCAAGUCGAGCGCCUCGCUUUCGGGCGGGGAGCGGCGCACGGGUGAGUAACGCGUGGGAAUCUACCCUGGGGUUCGGGACAACGGCGGGAAACUGCCGCUAACACCGGAUACGGCCUUUUGGCGAAAGUUUACGCCCUGGGAUGAGCCCGCGUCCGAUUAGCUAGUUGGUGGGGUAACGGCCCACCAAGGCUGCGAUCGGUAGCCGGUCUGAGAGGAUGAUCGGCCACACUGGGACUGAGACACGGCCCAGACUCCUACGGGAGGCAGCAGUGGGGAAUCUUGGACAAUGGGGGCAACCCUGAUCCAGCGACGCCGCGUGGGUGAUGAAGGCCUUCGGGUUGUAAAGCCCUUUUGUCGGGGACGAUGAUGACGGUACCCGGCGAAUAAGCACCGGCUAACUCCGUGCCAGCAGCCGCGGUACGCC